rnacentral:rRNA from 1 species
UACAGAGGGUGCAAGCGUUAAUCGGAAUUACUGGGCGUAAAGCGCGCGUAGGUGGAUACUUAAGUCGGAUGUGAAAGCCCUGGGCUUAACCUGGGAACUGCACUCGAUACUGGGUGUCUAGAGUAUAGUAGAGGGAAGUGGAAUUUCCGGUGUAGCGGUGAAAUGCGUAGAUAUCGGAAGGAACACCAGUGGCGAAGGCGGCUUCCUGGACUAAUACUGACACUGAGGCGCGAAAGCGUGGGGAGCAAACAGG